rnacentral:misc_RNA from 1 species
GAUGAAGAACGCAGCGAAAUGCGAUACGUAAUGUGAAUUGCAAAUUCAGUGAAUCAUCGAGUCUUUGAACGCACAUUGCGCCCCCUGGUAUUCCGGGGGGCAUGCCUGUCCGAGCGUCAUUACAACCCUCAAGCUCUGCUUGGUAUUGGGCCCCGCCAGUUCUGGCGGGCCCUAAAGUCAGUGGCGGUGCCUUCCGGCUCCGAGCGUAGUAAUUCUUCUCGCUCUGGAGACCCGGUUGUGUGCUUGCCAACAACCCCCAAUUUUUUAAGGUUGACCUCGGAUCAGGUAGGGAUACCCGCUGAACUUAAGCAUAUCAAUAAGCGGAGGA